UACGGAGGGUGCAGGCGUUAUCCGGAUUCACUGGGUUUAAAGGGAGCGUAGGAGGGCAGGUAAGUCAGUGGUGAAAUCUUCGAGCUUAACUCGGAAACUGCCGUUGAUACUAUCUGUCUUGAAUGCCGUGGAGAUGAGCGGAAUAUGUCAUGUAGCGGUGAAAUGCUUAGAUAUGACAUAGAACACCAAUUGCGAAGGCAGCUCACUACGCGAAUAUUGACACUGAGGCACGAAAGCGUGGGGAUCAAACAGG
rnacentral:rRNA from 1 species